UACAGGGUGUGCAAACGUUGCUCGGAAUCAUUGGGCGUAAAGCGCACGUAGGCGGUUCGUUAUGUCGGAUGUGAAAGCCCUUGGCUUAACCGAGGAAGUGCAUCCGAAACUGGCGAGCUAGAGUACUAAAGAGGAUCGCGGAAUUCCCGGUGUAGAGGUGAAAUUCGUAGAUAUCGGGAGGAACACCGGUGGCGAAGGCGGCGAUCUGGGUAGAUACUGACGCUGAGGUGCGAAAGCGUGGGGAGCAAACAGG
rnacentral:rRNA from 1 species